GUUGGAAGAAAUUCAAGGUCUAUAUAACCAGCACCACCAGCCUUGCUUUCUUUAUCUGUCUAGUGAAGUCAUAAAGAUUUUUGGUUCUGAUCCAUCUUGCGCAAGUUAUCUCCAAAGUUUGAUUGAAGCAUUAUUCAUGCACACAACACGUCUUCUCACAAGUAUUCAGGAAUUUACUGCUAGGCCGGAUAUUGCUGAUGAC
rnacentral:misc_RNA from 1 species